AUUGAACGCUGGCGGCAUGCUUUACACAUGCAAGUCGAACGGUAACAGGCCGCAAGGUGCUGACGAGUGGCGAACGGGUGAGUAAUGCAUCGGAACGUGCCCAGUCGUGGGGGAUAACGCAGCGAAAGCUGUGCUAAUACCGCAUACGAUCUAUGGAUGAAAGCGGGGGACCGUAAGGCCUCGCGCGAUUGGAGCGGCCGAUGUCAGAUUAGGUAGUUGGUGGGGUAAAGGCCCACCAAGCCAACGAUCUGUAGCUGGUCUGAGAGGACGACCAGCCACACUGGGAAUGAGACACGGCCCAGACUCCUACGGGAGGCAGCAGUGGGGAAUUUUGGACAAUGGGCGCAAGCCUGAUCCAGCAAUGCCGCGUGCAGGAAGAAGGCCUUCGGGUUGUAAACUGCUUUUGUACGGAACGAAACGGUCUGGGUUAAUACCUCGGGCUAAUGACGGUACCGUAAGAAUAAGCACCGGCUAACUACGUGCCAGCCGCCGCAGUAACAC
rnacentral:rRNA from 1 species